AUUAACGCUUCGGCAGAACAUAUACUAAAAUGAGAAUGAUACAGAGAAGAUAAGCAGCGCUCCUGCUCAAGAAUGACAAGCAAAAUCGUAAACAGUUCCAUAUUUUU
rnacentral:snRNA from 1 species